rnacentral:rRNA from 1 species
UACGCAGGGGGCUAGCGUUGUUCGGAAUUACUGGGCGUAAAGCGCGCGCAGGCGGCUAUCCAAGUCAGUGGUGAAAGCCCGGAGCUCAACUCCGGAACUGCCAUUGAAACUGUUUAGCUUGAGGAUGAGAGAGGUGAGUGGAAUUCCCAGUGUAGAGGUGAAAUUCGUAGAUAUUGGGAAGAACACCGGUGGCGAAGGCGGCUCACUGGCUCAUUACUGACGCUCAGGCGCGAUAGCGUGGGGAUCAAACAGG